AGGACGAACGCUGGCGGCGUGCUUAACACAUGCAAGUCGAACGGUGAAAGGGACUUCGGUCCCUGGAUCAGUGGCGAACGGGUGAGUAACACGUGGGCAACCUGCCCCUAGCUCCGGAAUAACCCCGGGAAACCGAGGCUAAUACCGGAUACGACCCUGCGCGGCAUCGCGCGGGGUGGAAAGUUUUUCGGCUAGGGAUGGGCUCGCGGCCUAUCAGCUUGUUGGUGGGGUAAUGGCCUACCAAGGCGACAACGGGUAGCCGGCCUGAGAGGGUGACCGGCCACACUGGGACUGAGACACGGCCCAGACUCCUACGGGAGGCAGCAGUGGGGAAUAUUGCGCAAUGGGCGAAAGCCUGACGCAGCGACGCCGCGUGAGGGAUGACGGCCUUCGGGUUGUAAACCUCUUUCGGUAGGGAUGAAGCCUUCGGGUGACGAGUACCGUGCGAGAAGAAGCACCGGCUAACUACGUGCCAGCAGCCGC
rnacentral:rRNA from 1 species